AAUCGCCCCACUCUGCGCCCUCGAGCGAGGUUUCGUGCCCUCGGGCGAGAAACAGUCGCCCGACUCUUUCCCUCCUUCGCCCGCCGCCUCCCUUCGUCCCUUCGCCGCCGUCGCCCUUCGUCCCUUCGCCGCCGCCCUGGCCAACGAGCCUCCCUCGAUCUGUUUCCUAAGAUCUCUCAAGACCGCCCCAGCCCCGAGACAGGCAGCCACCAAGAUCCGAGAUCGGAGAUGAGCCGCCUCCGCUGAGGAACGAGAGGAGCCGCCGCCUCCAGGUCGUUGUUGUGCCACACCGGCGCCUCCAGGUCGCCGCCGUCACGCACUGCCUCAGGUCCGUUGACCACUCCUCUCCUCGCCACUCCUCACUGCCAGCCCCGCACAGCUCUGCCUCCACGACGGGGAUUCGCUCUAUGGCGUCCAUGAGAGGUGGCUGCAGCCUCCAUGGUGCUGAUCCGGUCCUUGCUGCUGGAUCCGGCCCUCUCCACUCCUCUUCCCAGUCUGAUCCAAUGGCGACCGCACGACAUCGACCUCCCGGAUGGCGUGAAGUCCCAGCGGCAACCUCAGGCCCCUUGCGGUUGGGGUCGAUUUGAGGUGGCUCCGGUGGAAACAUGGACCACAUCACACUGUUACAAGGGCUCCCGAGGCGACAUCCAGUUGCUCCGUGUGCGGGGAUUAUUUUCACCUCUGUUUACUUUUGCGUUUAUUUUGCACGCCAAAAACAGUGGGCAACCACGAGGUCAUCGUCACUUCGAGCGCGGCGAGAUCCUCGAGGUCGUCAUCAUCACAGACAAGGGCACUGGCAGAUCCAAUGGCGGCGGAUUCGAGGCGGAGGCGGCCAUUAGGGCGUGCUUGAGUCCGUACCCGAUGAUUAGCGGCCGGAGGGCAACUGCAACCUCGCAUGCCUCGGGUCCAGAGGUCCAAGGUACCACAACCAACUGCCUCUUCAGCCAUAUGCUGGGUGUCCGUGUUGAACGUAGCAGAUGGUUGCCCUUCAAGCAUCAACAAAUUGGAAAAUUCAAGCUCUGAUUAGAUUACAAGCAGGGCAGAAAGGGAAUCAACACCAUCACUCCAAAACAUUGAAGGUGAAUAAGUGAACCACUAUUUAAGUAAAUAGACGAAUCAUAUUUUGUUAGAACUAACCAGUUGCUGCUAACAUAAUCCUCUCCAGGAAGAUCAGUUUCAGACAAUAUAAUCUGCUAUUUACUUUCUAAUUUCUAUGUAUUUAAGCAUGUUCAAACUCAGUACAAUUGUACAAAUGGAUAUAUUUUGAUUUGGUGACUUGCUAGAGACGAUUGUUCUGGACAGAACCUGGACCUUAUGAUAUCUACCUAUAUAUAUGUUUCUGGCCGCAUGUCUACUUAUUCUCUUAAGGCCACAGUAGGACCGAUCGACACUAGAUAUAUCUAAUAACUGUAUCAUGGUUUUCGCAAAAAAAAUAAAUUAAAAAAUAACUGUAUCAUGGGAUCACAUGCCAUUCUUUUUGCUGAAAAAUCACCUGGCUUUAUUGGAAAGGCUUGAAACAAAGCGACCUGCUUGACGAGCUCCAAACAGAGGUAAGGCUUGAUGCCCCCGCUGGAUCAACUAUUUUUACAAUAUUGUUGUGACUUUCUAAUGACUGCAGCCCAUUUUUUCUUCAUUGUUCUUUGGUCUUUUUUGGGAGAUUUAACAAGUUUCUGAACCAUUAUGUAAAAGAAUUGGAAUCACUGACAUAUUAAAUUCAGCCACAAUUGCAUGAACGAGUGAGUGCUGAGUAGCGAACCCAAUUUUUGCCAUUUCAGAUAUCUAGCAACGUAAUAAUAAGACCACUAAAACUAAUAAUGGUACUAUCUCUUACAAAUUAAUUUACCCUUACAACGGAUUGAGGCAAUAGAUUACCGAGCCUGCAUCAUGAUGGCCCUUCUUUAUGUCAGUUGUCUUGGACCAGUUAAAGGUAACCGCAUCUUUCUUACAAUUUUUUGGACUAUUAAUAUUUUCCCUGUCUGAGCCAACCAAAAGAUACUUUCAUGCAGCUAUUUCUAAUUUAAUUUAAACCAAGAUGACUAUCACCAGUCCCUUUUUUAGUUUUCAUGCAUUUAUCAAGGAAGCUACUUUGUUACUUGGAAUGAUAGAAUAACUACAAUGUAGAUAUGCUGAUUUUGUGUUUGAAUCAGUCUGUUCUGCUGAAUGCCUCUUUUAUUUGCCAAGCUCCAAUGGCUUACCAAGAUGUGGCUUUUUUCAUGGAGAGUAGUGUUUGCCCAAAAACUACCGUGGAACCAAUUGUGCCUCAGCCACCAAACUUUCCCAAGUAUGGAUAUACGACCUACAAUGUACACAGUAUCAAAGCCGCAUUAAACAAAUUGUUUUGUUGUCAGGUCAGCAACUCUUAAGAAUUGUUUUUAUUGUAUAAUUUUCCACUUCUUACAACUUACAAUUUACUGAACUUGUGAAUGUUGGAUUAGUUACCAGCAUCACAAGAAUAUUUGCGCCGAGCGGCGGAUCGGUUGACCAGAUAUGAGAAAAUCACAUUGCGCCAACUUUUAUCAUUUUUCAUUCUGUGUUCUUAUCUCUUCACUGAAACAAUGAUAUAUCUUUCCAGAAUGCCUGCCGUUGUGACGUUUUGGGGAAAAUUAGCAGAUGCCCUUGAUGCAGACAAAGCUACAACGGUGGUCUGCUCAAGAACCCGUUAUAGUUCUAUUUGUUGGCAUGCCAGUACAUGAAUUUAAUGAAACUUGGCCUUCAAGUCCUGUCUGGCAACUUGAUGGUACAUAAAUCCAACUAUUUCUGAAGCGGCAGCUAUUCUAGGAAGAUCUACUGCAAGAUCCCAUCAAAUUGAGAUAAGCACCGGCUCACAGGGUCAUCGCUAGGCAACAAAUACAACAAUCACAUAAUUAUCAGCCGUUGACCCUGGUGGAAUCAUGGACCAGUACUAUAAACUGGAAAUAAAGAGAACUGAAGUGUCCCCUUCCAUGGCGUUGGGGGGCCUUUCUCUGCCAGGCGCGGCGGCUCCUCGGUAGGAUGAUGCAGCUGGCUCGGCGGAGGCUAGGACACAUUACAAGCCCCCUCACCCACCCUGACGAGAAGGGCGGCAAGACGAAACUGCUUGCUGAUUUUUAUCGUUGCAUAAAUAUGCUUAUUGUUACAGUGCUUGUCGCAGAGCUGGAGAUGAAAAGAACCAAUCUUACUUUACUAUUAUGUGAGAAUUAUUAGUCUGCAAAUUGAUUACUAAUCCCUCCGUCUCAAAAUAAGUGACUCAACUUGUACUAGCUUUAGUACAAAGUUAGUACAAAAUUGAGUCACUUAUUUUGAGAUGGAGGGAGUAUUUUCUAUCCUUUGGUGAAAUGACCAAGAGCAAGCAAGAUGUUGCCAAUACUUGCGAGAUGAUAGUGUAGUUGGCCUUGACUUCCUUUUCUGGUCCUAACCAAUUUUAGAGAACAGUGUAAUGUUUUUCAUUGUUUAUUAUCCUCGGUGCAUACAAAAAAUUACUUGAGUCUCAGGUAGCCAGGUUGCAUUAUCACCAUCUUACAAAUAUUUGUUGUGCAGGUCUGAGCUGUGUGCAAGGAAGCUCAACACAUUGGAGGAAAGCAUUGUCGGAUAUAUGGUAUCCUGACCCUCUUACUUGGGACUGGGAUAAGUUACAAUCUUACAUGUUCUGAGUUCUGUACUCCCAUGUACUUGGGUCCAAUAAUUUAUCUUGACAUUAUUUUAAAAUUUUCUCUAAGAUGUGCAUAUCACUGCUGAACUUUUUGCAAUAUAUAAAUUCAGUGUUAUUGUGAACACUUGAACAAUACAUACUGAUGUGUAGAAUGAGAUUGUUGUAUACUGAGGACUGAGGUAAUCCUUUAGUCAGCUAAAUAGUGCAUAGUUUACUGAUGUAGAUUAUUAGUAAGCUUCUAAUAAAUAUGAUUUGCCAAAAAAAUAAAUUGCGCAUACAAGAGUCAGCUAGGUAAAUAUGAUUUAAUAGGUUACUGAAGAUUUGCGAUGAAUAAAAAUUGCACGGUCACCUAGGUAAACCGCAGGAUGUUUUCCCCACCAUGGAUGUCUUCUUAUGUCAACCUGCUCUUGGUAAGUACAGUAUGAACUGCCAAAAUUUCAAUGGUACAUGAGUGGAUAAAUUUUGCAUGAUGGUGAAUAUGUUAUCAUUGCACUAAAACAAAUCUAUGCUAUGAUGUAUCUUGAUCAAUCUACAAUACCAUUUGGGGUAAACGCUCAUGUAGAUAAUCAUGUCUCCUUGAAAUUAUUUGUAUGUAAAUAGUUUUGUGCUAUGGUGUACCUUUGCUGCUCCUGAAAACUCUUAGUGUAAAUGGUCAUGGAGAUAAUUAUGUCUAUUUGAAGUUAUUAGAAAGUAAUGAAAUUCUAUGUUCAUGCCAUUUCUCUUUUCUUUUCAUGAGAAAAAAUCACUCAAGGAAGGAUCAAAUUAUAUAGCAUGGCCAGAGAUGAGUAACUCGGAGUCACAACUUCACCACCAUUUCCAAACGCAAGUUUGUUGGGAAGUCAAAGUCAUGCGCUAGGUUGAGAGGAGGGGAGGCAUCUGGUAGAGAGAAAUGGUAUCUCAGUGUGGCAUCGAGGUCUUGAGAGAAUGUUUGUUUAACUACCAUAGUUUCAAGUCAUUUUCUACUCCAUAGCAGCACACAAUUAUCUUAUUAGAAUUUAUACACGGGUGUUAUUACUUGGUAGAAACAAGUGAGAAUACCACAAUUAUUUGGGAGAAUUUUUAUUACUGAGACCUUUAUAUUUCUUCUAGACAAAAAGCCAACAUCUUUGUUGAGGUUGAAGAAAUGGGGAGAUAAAGUUGCCAUAGCGAAAUAUGCAUCUUUCAUUAACUGUAAAUAAGAAAUUCAAUUCUCCGUCAUCUCUCUGAGGUAGUGGUAACCUUCUCAUUUUCCAAUCAGAUAUAUAAUACGCCAUCAUCUGUUGGAGUAUGUGAGGACAUUUUCAUAGUUUUGCUAAAAUCUAGAAAAGAUGUCAAGCAAUGGUAUGGUGAGAUGACAUACCUUUGAAGAGACGACAAUGCUACAUGCUGCUUUGUCUUUUUCAAGAGUGGUUGGUUAAGGAGGCAUGUGGACUCUCAAGGAAAUAAGCGGGAGAGAGAAUUGAUAUUUGUAGCUAUAUGAAUAGAUAUUACAGGCUUGUGUUUGACAUAUAUUUUCUGAAUUACGAGCGCAUAUGUUUUCGGUUAUGCCUUGCCAAAGCACGAGCACUUAGCUAGCAGCAUUCAACAUGCAUGCAUAUAUGUUUAUAUGUUGACUUCUGUAGGUCUGAGAUAAAACGGAUGGCUUCGGAUGAUGCUUUGAAAAUGUCCGUCCACAAAGUCACGGACAUACUAUGACAUACUAUGAUGGACGGGACUCAAAUCUCAUCAAGUUUUACACAAUGAGAGAUGCAUAGAAAUAAUUGUUCUUCCUUGUACAUAUGUUGCACAUAAUAAUACAAAAGGUUUAUUUCUAUGUAUGUUUAAUUUUGCAGAGUAUAUAUCAAAGAGAUGGAGAGGGAUUAUGUCGAUGUUCAAAAAGAAUCCAUAGACAAGGGUCCUGAGGCAAUGUCGUUGGAAGGGGCUGAAAAUUUUCUGAGCUUUAUACAACAAUAUUGGAUAUGCAAGCAGAAAAAAAAGGCUAAGGCCCCUUUUGGUUCAUAGGGUUGGAAUAAUAAUAGGAAUAUAAAAAUUAUAGUAAAUGAGAUGUCAUGUAUCUCAAAUCAUAUGAAUAGUAAUAUGAAAAGAGAUGUCCUUUCAUUCA